rnacentral:rRNA from 1 species
GCCUACGGCCAUACCACCCUGAACACGCCCGAUCUCGUCUGAUCUCGGAGCUAAGCAGGGUCGGGCCUGGUUAGUACUUGGAUGGGAGACCGCCUGGGAAUACCAGGUGUUGUAGGCU